rnacentral:lncRNA from 1 species
UUUUUUUUUUGGGUCGAGAGAGAACAGAGAGUACUGAAGAACGAGUUGGAGAGAGAGCGACCUGGAGAGAGAGUGCAAGCUCGAGAGAGUGUUUGGUCAUCGCCGGAGGUCCGUUCGUCAGUUGCCAUUCGCCGCGGUCCUCCUCUCGAACCAGGUAGGCUUUUGUUUCAACCGUGUGUCCCUCGUUCCUCGGGAGGCGUCGGCCGGAGCUUGUGCCGACUAGUUCGCACGAGCUUCGGUCCGAGCCGGUUCUCCCUGAAAGCUGCUAGCUG